ensembl:lincRNA
GAAUGUUAUACUGGAUUCAAAUUGGGACAACUAAGUCUGAGAUCCACCUCCAUCACUUUGGGCAUAUCACUUCUCUAGACCUCGUUUCCCUUAUUGGUAAAUUGAGAAUUUGAGUGCCUCUUCUAUAUAGGAUUUUCCAACUCUGACACGUCACAAUUCUUCCAGUGCCUCAAGAGAUGAUAGUACUAUACAGGACCUACUGCAUCUUUUUUGCAACUAACUUUGCAAUAACGCUGUUUGGAAAGAAGAUGACCCAAACUGUAUUAAUUAGUAAAUGCCAAAGGCAGCAACUGGAGUCUGUGAGCUACUCCUCUCGCUAUGCUCUGGGCCUCUUUUAUGAAGCUGGCACGAAGAUUGACGUCCCUUGGGCUGGGCAGUACAUCACCAGUAAUCCCUGCAUACGCUUCGUCUCCAUUGAUAAUAAGAAGCGCAAUAUAGAGUCAUCAGAAAUCGGGCCUUCCUUGGUGAUUCACACCACUGUCCCUUUUGGAGUUACAUACUUGGAGCAUAGCAUCGAGGAUGUGCAGGAGUUAAUCUUCCAGCAGUUGGAAAAUAUUUUGCCAGGUUUGCCUCAGCCAGUUGCUACCAAAUGCCUGAAAUGGAGACAUUCACAGCUGUUUUACACCUCCAGGAUCCUGCCAUCUGCCUACUCUAAAGAAACACAGCAAAGCCUUCCAAAAACAAUGGUUGAGAGGGAAAAAAAAAAAUGUGAUCAAACCCAAGAAAUCGACUUCUCUGCACCCUUUUGGUUACUGCUACUCUUCCUGGAGAGAAGACAGUGUGGUGUGGCCCAGAGGUUCAAGCCGUGGAAUAAAAUAACCUGGCAAUUCUGUUUGGACGGCAAGAUAGAGGGGAGCUGGCCUCUUCUGGAAGUCCAGACAGGUUGCCAGAUUUGGCAAAUGAAAACAUGGGAUGCCUCAUUGAACUUGAAUUUCAGAUAAGUAAUGCAAAAUGUUUCAGUGUAAGUAUGUCCCGUGCAGUAAGUUUCAGUGUAAGUAUGUCCCAUGAAAACAUUUUUUUUUUAUCUGAAAUUCAAAUUUAACUGGUCAUCCUUUAUUUUACCAGGCAAACCUAAUCCCAGAGAAAGUCAGGACAGUGAAGAGAUUUCCACCAACAAAAGCUUCUUUGAAAGCCCUAGCUGAAUGGCUUUGGACGACAUUUCAACUCAGGCUCUACAUUUUCCCUGGAGUGUGAGCUCGAUGUCAUAGAAUAACAAUUGGGAGAAUGAACAUUCAGUGAACAUUCUGCCCCUUCCCUGCCCUCCGCAGCCUGUGACAAAAUGCUCUCUCUUAACCAGCUGAGGAGUAAAAAAGUUUUCUCUUUAAAGAUAUUUUUCCCCUCCGCUUUCACUGUUUCUUGGAUUUGCUGGAUAACUGCUUUUGCUAAUUGUUUGCAGACCACAGCCCAAUUUGGCCUGCCAACUAUGGAGGCGUGGUGGUGGGCUUAAUGAUAAACAGUAAGGAGAUUAAAUCAAGUAGUCCUGGUUUGGGAUUCCAACUCUGCUACGUCCUGCCUGAGAAACAUCAGAUAAGUUGCUUAACUUCUCUGGCCCUCAAUUUCUGCAUCAGUAAAAUGAGGGGCUCAUGGAAUUGCAUGGAGUUACUUAAGAUUGAAGCAGGCAGUACUUGUCUCAGUAUCUGGCACAUAAUUGAUACUUUAUUUUUUUUUUUUUGUACUGGGAUCAAACCCAAGGACACUCAGCCACUGAACCACAUCCCCAGCCCUUUUUAUAUAUUAUUCAG